rnacentral:rRNA from 1 species
UACAGAGGUCUCAACCGUUGUUCGGAUUCAUUGGGCGUAAAGGGCGCGUAGGCGGUCGCGCAAGUCGGAUGUGAAAUCUCAGGGCUCAACCCUGAAACUGCAUUCGAUACUGCGUGGCUAGAGUGCUGGAGAGGAGACUGGAAUUUACGGUGUAGCAGUGAAAUGCGUAGAUAUCGUAAGGAAGACCAGUGGCGAAGGCGAGUCUCUGGACAGCAACUGACGCUGAGGCACGAAGGCCAGGGGAGCAGACGGG